CCGCCGCGGUAAUACGAAGGGUGCAAGCGUUAACCGGAAUUACUGGGCGUAAAGCGUGCGUAGGCGGUUUGUUAAGUCUGUUGUGAAAUCCCCGGGCUCAACCUGGGAAUUGCAGUGGAUACUGGGUCACUAGAGUGUGGUAGAGGAUAGUGGAAUUUCCGGUGUAGCAGUGAAAUGCGUAGAGAUCGGAAGGAACAUCUGUGGCGAAGGCAGCCACCUGGUCCACUUCUGACGCUGAGGCGCGAAAGCGUGGGGAGCAAACCGGAUUAGAUACCCCGGUAGUCCCUGUCUCUUAUACACC
rnacentral:rRNA from 1 species